rnacentral:rRNA from 1 species
GACGAACGCUGGCGGCGUGCUUAACACAUGCAAGUCGAACGGAAAGGCCCUGCUUUUGCGGGGUGCUCGAGUGGCGAACGGGUGAGUAACACGUGAGUAACCUGCCCUUGACUUUGGGAUAACUUCAGGAAACUGGGGCUAAUACCGGAUAGGAGCUCCUGCUGCAUGGUGGGGGUUGGAAAGUUUCGGCGGUUGGGGAUGGACUCGCGGCUUAUCAGCUUGUUGGUGGGGUAGUGGCUUACCAAGGCUUUGACGGGUAGCCGGCCUGAGAGGGUGACCGGCCACAUUGGGACUGAGAUACGGCCCAGACUCCUACGGGAGGCAGCAGUGGGGAAUAUGGCACAAUGGGCGGAAGCCUGAUGCAGCAACGCCGCGUGCGGGAUGACGGCCUUCGGGUUGUAAACCGCUUUCGCCUGUGACGAAGCGUGAGUGACGGUAAUGGGUAAAGAAGCACCGGCUAACUACGUG